UACCUGCCCUUUAGUGGGGGAUAACACGGCGAAAGUCGUGCUAAUACCGCAUGUGAUCGCAAGAUCAAAGUCCGCCUCGGCGGACGCUAAAGGAGGGGCCUGCGUCUGAUUAGCUAGUUGGUAGGAUAAAAGCCUACCAAGGCAACGAUCAGUAGCUGGAUCGAGAGGUUGACCAGCCACACUGGGACUGAGAUACGGCCCAGACUCCUACGGGAGGCAGCAGUAAGGAAUCUCCCACAAUGGACGAAAGUCUGAUGGAGCAACACCGCGUGCAG
rnacentral:rRNA from 1 species